AUGGUCUGAUUACAUGUAUUUGAAACUCAAGGUUAACAGGGCCCAAUGCUGCUUUUUUAAUACUAGCUACUGAAGCUUUCUCCAUUUUAAAGACAAUUAUUCUCCCAUUUUUUAUGUCAUAGUACCAGCUCCAGUGAAAUACAUAGAAUGGAAUAAAA